AUGGCGUCGAGCGACGGGCAGCUUGGAAGUUUAUUCGACCACCACGUCCAGAGGGCAGUUUGCGACACAAGGCCGAAAUAUCGAGAGGGCCGAAGACCUCGCGCGGUGAAGGUCUAUACAAUCAACUUGGAAUCUUGGUACUUACUGAUACAAGGAGUUCCUGCAGUAGGAGCAAUGAAGGAAUUAGUUGAACGAUUUGCUCUAUAUGGUACAAUUGAAGAGUAUAAUGCUCUAGAUGAAUACCCAGCAGAAGACUUUACAGAAGUUUAUCUUAUUAAGUUUAUGAAUUUACAGAGUGCAAGGAUAGCCAAGAGAAAAAUGGAUGAACAGAGUUUCUUUGGUGGAUUGCUUCAUGUUUGCUAUGCUCCAGAAUUUGAGACAGUUGAAGAAACUAGAAAAAAAUUAGAAGAGAGAAAAGCUUAUAUAGCAAGAGCUACUAAAAAUAAAGACUAUUAUAUGACAAAGAAGAAAGCAGCUCCAGAGCAUAAAGACACAGAAGAUCGUAGAUGUGCCUUCCACUCAGGUAUGUCUGGAUUUUCUGCAGCCACUUGGAACACACCUGCUGGAAACAGAGAUCCUCGUUUUCCUUAUUCUUGUGAAUUACCUUUGUGUUAUUUUGCAUCACAAUGUGUGUGUUCACCUGAAGAGCAUGUGAAUAGAACGUCCAAUUUAUAUAAAGAUGGUAGAGACUGUAAUGAAACAGCGAAGCACUGUAUCCACAGCGACUCUUCCCCCGCUAUCCAGAUGAACACUUCUAAAGAUUCUGAACCACAAAAAGCCAUUACUCCUUCAGGGGCGAUUGACAGAUUUAUGCCUAGGACAACACAGCUGCAGGAGCGGAAAAGAAGAAGAGAAGAUGAUCAUAAACUUGGACAUUUUGAAACAAGCACGAACAGUAAUGAGGUGCUGAUCGGGCCUAAGUUACCAGACAUACCUAAAGUGGAUCUGCAAGAUGAUUCCUUGAAUACAACAGCAAACCUAAUUCGGAAUAAACUUAAAGAGGUAAUUUCAUCUGUGCCAAAGCCUCCAGAAGAUAAGUCAGAAGCUGUAUAUGCAAGCCAUCCAUUAAAACAAAGAAGAAGAAUAUAG